AUGGUGACAGUGGCCGGGUUGGUCAGUUGGUGGAGCAGGCGCACAUGUACAAUGAGGUUUAUGCCUCGCCGCAGACGUCCAGGGUUCGAAUCCGACCUUUGAGGAUUUCCUGCAUCUCCUCCGCUCUCUCUC